UACGUAGGGUGCGAGCGUUAAUCGGAAUUACUGGGCGUAAAGCGUGCGCAGGCGGUUCGUUGUGUCGGCGGUGAAAGCCCCGGGCUCAACCUGGGAAUGGCCGUUGAAACUGGCGAACUGGAGUGUGGCAGAGGGGGGUGGAAUUCCGCGUGUAGCAGUGAAAUGCGUAGAGAUGCGGAGGAACACCGAUGGCGAAGGCAGCCCCCUGGGCUAGCACUGACGCUCAGGCACGAAAGCGUGGGGAGCAAAAGGG
rnacentral:rRNA from 1 species